rnacentral:pre_miRNA from 1 species
UAUAUAUUCCUCCGUCCAACAAAAGAUGUCUCAAAUUUAGAUAUAUUUAGACAUGACUUAGUGUAUAGAUGCAUUCAAAUUUAGCCAAAGUUGAGACAUACUUUGUUGGACGGAAGAAGUUUUUU